GCCUACGGCCAUACCACCCUGAACACGCCUGAUCUCGGAAGCUAAGCAGGGUCGGGCCUGGUUAGUACUUGGAUGGGAGACCGCCUGGGAAUACCAGGUGUUGUAGGCU
rnacentral:rRNA from 1 species